rfam:Schistosoma mattheei strain Denwood, Zambia genome assembly, scaffold: SMTD_scaffold0005100
GUCCAGCUGACGAGUCUCAAUUGGGACGAAACACGCGUCAGAUUGGAU